rnacentral:rRNA from 1 species
AUGAACGCUGGCGGCGUGCCUAAUACCUGCAAGUCGAGCGCACAGACGAGGAGCUUGCUCCUCUGACGUUAGCGGCGGACGGGUGAGUAACACGUGGAUAACCUACCUAUAAGACUGGGAUAACUUCGGGAAACCGGAGCUAAUACCGGAUAACAUGUUGAACCGCAUGGUUCAACAGUGAAAGACGGUCUUGCUGUCACUUAUAGAUGGAUCCGCGCCGCAUUAGCUAGUUGGUAAGGUAACGGCUUACCAAGGCAACGAUGCGUAGCCGACCUGAGAGGGUGAUCGGCCACACUGGAACUGAGACACGGUCCAGACUCCUACGGGAGGCAGCAGUAGGGAAUCUUCCGCAAUGGGCGAAAGCCUGACGGAGCAACGCCGCGUGAGUGAAGAAGGUCUUCGGAUCGUAAAACUCUGUUAUUAGGGAAGAACAAAUGUGUAAGUAACUAUGCACGUCUUGACGGUACCUAAUCAGAAAGCCACGGCUAACUACGUG